rnacentral:tRNA from 1 species
GGGCCCGUAGUUCAGUGGCUACGGCUUUUGUCGCUAUAAAGAACGUCUCCCUUACAAGGAGAAGGUCACCGGUUCAAGUCCGGUCGGGCCCA